rnacentral:rRNA from 1 species
UAAGAUGCCAUCCUAUCAGUUAGUAAGUAGGGUAAGGGCCUACUUAGACGAAGACGGGUACGGGGAAUGAGGGUUUGAUUCCGGAGAGGGAGCCUGAGAGAUGGCUACCAGGACCAAGGUCAGCAGCAGGCGCGAAAAUUAUCGAAGCCCGCCUAGGGGCGAUAGUGAGGAGACGUGUAUAACGAAGUACGUGUAAAGAACGUGCUAAUAACUGGAGGUCAAGUCUGGUGCCAGCAUCCGCGGUAAUUCCAGCUCCAGGGGUGUCUAUGAUGAUUGCUGCGAUUAAAAAGUCCGUAGUCAAUCUGACUGACUGGCCUGCAAUGUGAUUGAUUAAAGAACGAGCAGGGUUAGGAAAGCAGAGAAUCAGGAGCGACCGAGGGCUAGAGUAUUGAAUGGCGAGAGGUGAAAUUUGAUGACCCAUUCAGGAGUGACAAAGGCGAAGGCACUAGUCAAGGGCGAAUCCGAUGAUCAAGGACGUAGGCUAGAGUUUCGAAAACGAUUAGAGACCGGAGUAGUUCUAGCAGUAAACUAUGCCGACGCCGUGGUAUCAUUUUGGUAUUGCGGAAGAGAAAUCAAGUAAGGCUUUGGGGAGAGUACGCGCGCAAGCGAUAAAUUUAAAGGAAAUUGACGGAGGAACACCACAAGGAGUGGAGUGUGCGGCUUAAUUUGACUCAACGCGGGACAGCUUACCAGGCCCGAUAAUCGAGCGAGCGUAGUACGCGAUAGGUUAAAGAGUGGUGCAUGGCUGCUAUCGACAGUUGGGGUGACCUUAGGGUUAAUUCCGGCAAGUAGUGAGACCCCUGCAGAUAGUGGACAGGUAUUUUUAAAAUACAGGAAGGAAGGGACAAGAGCAGGUCAGUGAUGCCCUUAGAUGGCCUGGGCUGCACGCGCACUACAGUGGUCAUUAUAAGUAGAAGUUAGAUAUAAAGAUGAUCG